GACGAACGCUGGCGGCGUGCUUAACACAUGCAAGUCGAACGGUGAAGGGAAGCUUGCUUCCCGGAUCAGUGGCGAACGGGUGAGUAACACGUGGGCAAUCUGCCCCAGACUUUGGGAUAACUACUCGAAAGAGUAGCUAAUACCGAAUAUUCAGCCUUGCAGGCAUCUGCGAGGCUGGAAAGUUUCUCGGUCUGGGAUGAGCCCGCGGCCUAUCAGCUAGUUGGUGAGGUAAUGGCUCACCAAGGCGACGACGGGUAGCCGGCCUGAGAGGGCGACCGGCCACACUGGGACUGAGACACGGCCCAGACUCCUACGGGAGGCAGCAGUGGGGAAUAUUGCGCAAUGGGCGAAAGCCUGACGCAGCAACGCCGCGUGCGGGAUGAAGGCCUCGGUUGUAACCGCUUCUAGCAGGAGAAGCGAAGUGACGGUACCUGCAGAAGAAGCACCGGC
rnacentral:rRNA from 1 species